GACGAACCGUACGAACGUUAUUCGGAAUCACUGGGCUUAAAGGGUGCGUAGGCGGCGCGACAAGUUGGGUGUGAAAUCCCUCGGCUCAACCGAGGAACUGCGCCCAAAACUGUCGUGCUCGAGGGAGACAGAGGUGAGCGGAACUUAGGGUGGAGCGGUGAAAUGCGUUGAUAUCCUAAGGAACACCGGUGGCGAAAGCGGCUCACUGGGUCUCUUCUGACGCUGAGGCACGAAAGCGUGGGGAGCGAACAGG
rnacentral:rRNA from 1 species